AUUGAACGCUGGCGGCAGGCCUAACACAUGCAAGUCGAACGGUAGCACAGAGAGCUUGCUCUCGGGUGACGAGUGGCGGACGGGUGAGUAAUGUCUGGGAAACUGCCCGAUGGAGGGGGAUAACUACUGGAAACGGUAGCUAAUACCGCAUAAUGUCGCAAGACCAAAGAGGGGGACCUUCGGGCCUCUUGCCAUCGGAUGUGCCCAGAUGGGAUUAGCUUGUAGGUGAGGUAACGGCUCACCUAGGCGACGAUCCCUAGCUGGUCUGAGAGGAUGACCAGCCACACUGGAACUGAGACACGGUCCAGACUCCUACGGGAGGCAGCAGUGGGGAAUAUUGCGCAAUGGGCGCAAGCCUGAUGCAGCCAUGCCGCGUGUAUGAAGAAGGCCUUCGGGUUGUAAAGUACUUUCAGCGGGGAGGAAGGGAGUGAGGUUAAUAACCUUAUUCAUUGACGUUACCCGCAGAAGAAGCACCGGCUAACUCCGUGCCAGCAGCCGCGGUAAUACGGAGGGUGCAAGCGUUAAUCGGAAUUACUGGGCGUAAAGCGCACGCAGGCGGUCUGUCAAGUCGGAUGUGAAAUCCCCGGGCUCAACCUGGGAACUGCAUUCGAAACUGGCAGGCUGGAGUCUUGUAGAGGGGGGUAGAAUUCCAGGUGUAGCGGUGAAAUGCGUAGAGAUCUGGAGGAAUACCGGUGGCGAAGGCGGCCCCCUGGACAAAGACUGACGCUCAGGUGCGAAAGCGUGGGGGGCAAACAGGAUUAGAUACCCUGGUAGUCCACGCUGUAAACGAUGUCGACUUGGAGGUUGUUCCCUUGAGGAGUGGCUUCCGGAGCUAACGCGUUAAGUCGACCGCCUGGGGAGUACGGCCGCAAGGUUAAAACUCAAAUGAAUUGACGGGGGCCCGCACAAGCGGUGGAGCAUGUGGUUUAAUUCGAUGCAACGCGAAGAACCUCACCUACUCUUGACAUCCAGAGAACUUAGCAGAGAUGCUUUGGUGCCUUCGGGAACUCUGAGACAGGUGCUGCAUGGCUGUCGUCAGCUCGUGUUGUGAAAUGUUGGGUUAAGUCCCGCAACGAGCGCAACCCUUAUCCUUUGUUGCCAGCGGUCCGGCCGGGAACUCAAAGGAGACUGCCAGUGAUAAACUGGAGGAAGGUGGGGAUGACGUCAAGUCAUCAUGGCCCUUAUGAGUAGGGCUACACACGUGCUACAAUGGCAUAUACAAAGAGAAGCGACCUCGCGAGAGCAAGCGGACCUCAUAAAGUAUGUCGUAGUCCGGAUUGGAGUCUGCAACUCGACUCCAUGAAGUCGGAAUCGCUAGUAAUCGUGGAUCAGAAUGCCACGGUGAAUACGUUCCCGGGCCU
rnacentral:rRNA from 1 species